rnacentral:rRNA from 1 species
GCACGGCGCACGGGUGCGUAACACGUGGGCAAUCUGCCCUCGGAUGGGGGAUAACUCGCCGAAAGGCGAGCUAAUACCGCAUGACAUUCCAGGGACUCAAAGGCCGCAAGGCCGUCUGAGGAGGGGCCCGCGUCGGAUUAGGUAGUUGGUGGGGUAACGGCCUACCAAGCCUGUGAUCCGUAGCUGGUCUGAGAGGAUGAUCAGCCACACUGGGACUGAGACACGGCCCAGACUCCUACGGGAGGCAGCAGUGGGGAAUAUUGGACAAUGGGCGCAAGCCUGAUCCAGCAAUGCCGCGUGAGUGAUGAAGGCCUUAGGGUUGUAAAGCUCUUUCGGCGGGGACGAUGAUGACGGUACCCGCAGAAGAAGCCCCGGCUAACUUCGUGCCAGCAGCCGCGGUAAUACGAAGGGGGCGAGCGUUGUUCGGAUUUACUGGGCGUAAAGGGCGCGUAGGCGGCGGGUCAAGUCGAGUGUGAAAGCCCCGGGCUCAACCUGGGAAUUGCGCUCGAGACUGGUCUGCUUGAGUUCGGGAGAGGAGAGUGGAAUUCCCAGUGUAGAGGUGAAAUUCGUAGAUAUUGGGAAGAACACCGGUGGCGAAGGCGGCUCUCUGGACCGAGAC